UUUUUAUUUUUAUUUUUGGAGGCAGAGAACAUACUCCCUCUUUUCCUGGUUUAUUCAAAGUGAGUCUGAUUGGCUGGGCGUGGUGGCUCACUCCUGUAAUUCUAGUACUUUGGAAGACCAAGGCGGGAGGAUGGCCUGAGGUCAGGAGUUUGAGACUAGCCUGGCUAACAUGGUGAAAUCUCGUCUCUACCAAAAAUACAAAAAUUAGCAGGCAUGGUACUGUACUCCUGUAAUCCCAGCUACUCGGGAGACUGAGGCAAGAGAAUCACUUGUAACCCGGGAGAUGGAGGUUGCAGUGAGCCAACAUCGCACCACUGCGCUCCAGCCUGGGAACAGAGCUAGACUCUGUCUCCAGAAAAAACCAAAGUGGGUCUGCUGUUCACAGUUCAUGAUCACAUCAGGAGAAAACAAUCUGAGCGAGCAGAAGAAAAAGGCCACACAAACAACUCCACAGCCCUCAGACAACCCUGAAAUCUGGCACACGUCUGCAAGCAAAAAUCCAGGAUGGAUGGACUGGUGUUUUCCAGACUUGCCAGACCCAAAGGAGCACCUCGGGCACUUGUUAGAACACAGAUACCAGGCCCCUGCCCUGGAGCCGCUGCUUCUGCAGAUUUGUACACACCUGGGAAACACCAGAUCACAUGAAUUUGGCCAGGUGCUCUAAGGGACACACCACACUCUCAUAACUGAGUAAAAAACUAAAUCCAGAGCCAAAGAAACUGAGGAGACAGAGGACUUGUUCCCUGGCCUGUUCUUUGGGAACAGGUACUUCAGCUCAACCACUUUCCUUCCCAGGAAAACCGAGAACACCUGUGGAAAAAAAAAUCACCCCUGUUAUGUUCCUGUGGCUCUUACACAUGAAAUGUGAAUCCAUGAAGUCCAAAGACCAAAUGGUUUGGCAAUAUUUAUUUGGCAGAGGAGCGAAGGGGGAAAAGUUACGUUUAUUUUUAAAAUUUUGUUUUUCAAUGAAAAAUAAUAGGAGAGAAACUAGCCAUUUAAAACUCAGGAAAAUGAACUAGUUACUUGUUUUGUAGCCUGAGAGGGAAAUUGCACUUGCAGCAAUAGAGAUACAAAAAAAAAAAAAAAAUGUAUAAUGUUUCACUUAAUACUGGGGACAGUAGCUCAAGAUGUUGAAAGAAGCAUAUAAUAUGUCCCCUGGGGGAUCUGAAGGUAGCAGCGUAGGUGACAAAAAAGCCUGGAGGAUUGAGGUAGAGAAGGAAGCUUUCAUCUGGUCAAAUGAGUAGCCAGAGUGCAGGGUGGAAUGCUGAACACUGGAUGCAGCACGCUGUCACUAAGCGAGCUCUCCCUGCACAAAGAAUAGCCCAACAGAGCCCCAAUUACUAUAUUUCAUGGACACUCUGUCUCACUGGAAUACAACUUGUUGGGGGAUUAGUGUCUAGAGAGAAAGUCUCAAAUAAACUUUUAUUAAAAGACGGGAUGCUUAGAAAUGGCAACUGCUUCUUUUUAAUUCCAAAAGCAAUCCGAACCGUAACUCAAGAGUUCUGCCGUCUGAUAACUGAGUAAAAUCCAACGCUGUUCUUGAAAUUUUAUAGACAUUCCUCUCUUUCUAAGUACAUGAAUAGUGUAUAUACACUCUUCAAAGACUCGAUUUUUCUCUUUUGUAGCAAAAUGGCAAGAGCCUAUGGGAAUGUGGUGCCUGGGGCAAUGUUCCUUUUUGCUUAGAAGCGACCUGCUAAUCACCUGCAAGUAAUA
rnacentral:lncRNA from 1 species